UGCUAUCGAGGUUCGACUAAGCCAUGCGAGUCGAAUGUAGCAAUACAUGGCGAACUGCUCAGUAACACGUGGACAACCUGCCCUUAGGACGGGGAUAAACCCGGGAAACUGGGUAUAAUACCCGAUAGGUCUCGAUUGCUGGAAUGCAUCGAGAUUUAAAGCUCCGGCGCCUAAGGAUGGGUCUGCGGCCUAUCAGGUAGUAGUGGGUGUAGCGUACCUACUAGCCUACGACGGGUACGGGUUGUGAGAGCAAGAGCCCGGAGAUGGAUUCUGAGACACGAAUCCAGGCCCUACGGGGUGCAGCAGGCGCGAAAACUUUACAAUGCUGGCAACAGCGAUAAGGGAACCUCGAGUGCCAGGUUACAAAUCUGGCUGUCGAGAUGCCUAAAAAGCAUUUCAUAGCAAGGGCCGGGCAAGACCGGUGCCAGCCGCCGCGGUAACACCGGCGGCUCGAGUGGUAACCGUUAUUAUUGGGUCUAAAGGGUCUGUAGCCGGCCGGAUAAGUCUCUUGAGAAAUCUGGCAGCUUAACUGUCAGGCUUUCAGGAGAUACUGUCUGGCUCGAGGCCGGGAGAGGUGAGAGGUACUUCAGGGGUAGGGGUGAAAUCUUGUAAUCCUUGAAGGACCACCAGUGGCGAAGGCGUCUCACCAGAACGGACCUGACGGCAAGGGACGAAAGCUAGGGGCACGAACCGGAUUAGAUACCCGGGUAGUCCUAGCCGUAACGAUACUCGCUAGGUGUCGGCCACGGUG
rnacentral:rRNA from 1 species